CACUGCCUGGAACAUUCCUAAUUUUAGCACCAGAAGUCCCGUGUUUCAGGAAUCCCUGCAGACCUGACUGAGAAAGACAGAAUGCUUGAUCACCUUAGAUCCAGCACAAGCAGAGUUGUCUGUCAUAGGCGGAAUGAAGACUUCCUCACUUGAGUAAGGAAAAUGGAGGGAGAGAGGUGCUUGGCUUCGUGGGUUAUAUAGGCUGCGAAGUCCCACAAUAUGCCAUCUGCAAGCUGGAGGGCUGGGAAAGUGGUGGAUUAAUUAAUUGAUGCCAAAGGCUAAGAAGCUGGGCUGAUAUCCUCUCUCGAGUCCAAAGGCCUGAGAUCCUAGAGCUCUGGUGUCCAGGAGAAAAUGGAUGUUUCAGCUCCAAAGAGGGUGGAAUUUGAACUGUGACCCUAGAAAACCCAUGGGAGAACAGAUGCUGCCACGCUAGGAGAAACGAGGACAAGGAUUCAUGGAAGGAGGCAGCAGGACUGGAGCCUCAGCUUCCAGCAUUCAUGCUGGUGCCACCAUGCAGCUGAGCAGGUGCCUUUCCUGGAGUCCUCAGAGUGGAGGUGAAGGACACAUGUGCCUGCCACUUGGCUGCUCCAGCCCCUAAGUCUGACCUGCACGGACUUCUAUUUUAAGAGCCAAAGUACCACCUCCUCUGGCUGCAGAUUGGACUUGCAGUGAGCAGACACAUGAGAGCAAACGUGUGCUUCUAACAUUUCAUAACCUGCCUCCCACAAAACAGAAGGCUCGCUUUCCCUCACAUUCUUCCCUGGCUUGUUUUUGACAUUUUUAACGUGUACUGGAGAUCGAACUCAGGACCUUGCGCUUGCCAGGCAGACACCAGAGAUGCAGAGAAGAGAUCAAGACAGAUCUCAUUGCUCGCCUGUGACCACAUGCACACUCCAAGAUGUAAAGGCAAGGAAGAUGUGUGUAGAAACAGUGAUGGAAGGGGUCCAGUCCGCCCAGAGGUCUCUGGAGUUAUGAAGGUGCACAGACUAGAAGAAACUCAGCCUGGAAUGCAGGAGACAAGUUUGGUGCAUCCAAGAACUCAGCAGGAAUGUCAAUCAAGGCUUCUGUCACAGGCUCUGAGGCCCUGAAGGGGCAGGGUGGGAGGUCUGCACCCCCCCCACACUCCCCCCUGCAGUGAUAGCAGAAAUGCUCUGCAGAGUGGGGCACCAUGCCCACUUCUGCUGCAGGAUGCCUUAAGAGCCAAAAGAUUUAAUAAAGCCUAAGUCAGAGGAAAUAAAAGGCAAUUGUGUCCCUGAAUCCUGGGCUCCUGCCACCCUGCGGCUCCCUAGGGAUAUACUUGUGGCACUUGCAUGCUUCUCUCACAAAGGCCUAGAGGGAGAAAAACAGCCACUCAACAUCUAAUAAAUUAUCCACCAGGUCACUGCUUCUGCUGGCCUCCUUCUGACACUUCUCCCCUGAUUGCAGACAAUAAUUAUCCUCUAAUUGCUUAGACAAUUUUGCUCAUGAAGCUACAGCAACAAUGAAAAGCUGUCGUCUGCUACUGUUUGUUCUAAAUGCUGAUUUGAGCUAAAUUACUCUGCAAUUGCACGAAUGAUUCUAUUCUGAAGAGCAGGGCCCUUCCCUGUGUGGACAUCCCCCAGUGAGGCCUUUGGAGGUCUGAGAAGCAUGUCACAGCAAGUUUCUUACUUCUCUCUUGGCCUCGGGGCUGCACCUGACUUCAGGGUGGUCACUAAUCAGGCCCUCCCCAAGCAGGGACCUGUGGUGGAGUCCUCCUGUGUCUGGGGGCCACCCACUAGCUGUGGAUGGAGUGACUACAGGAAGGAGUGAAUGGAGGUACAGUCCUGCCAUUCUAACAAGUGAAUUUCCUGGGAAUUCAGACCCGCCUUUGACCCUGGGCAUCAUAAUCUCUCUUUUUUAAAAAGCAGAGAGUUGAGUUGCCAAAAUUUAUCUUAACUCAUCAACAUAAUGAAACGGUACUUAUUAGAUGCAUUUUAUUCAUUGCUUGAUGCUACACGCUAUGCAAUUUAGGAGGUUACUUUCUGCAAUAUGAGGGCACAGAUGCCGUGUGCAAGAUGCAGGGCACCUACAGGACUACGAGGCAGUGAUGUUGGGCACACAAUGAGCGUGAUUGUCAAAUGGCAUCAAAUGGAGAAUGCAUGAGAGCAAUAUCUGAAUGAGAACUGGAGGGCAGACUUGGAGAUACCAGUCUCAGCCAAUUGAUUGGUUCAUUUACCCAAUUCUAUUUAUUGAGGACCUGCUAAAUAAUAAGUCCCUGGACAGAUACCUAAGGUUUUUUAAAAAAGAAAAGCCAUUGCUUGUGGUUUGAAGAAGCUCACAGUUUGAUAGAGUCCAAGUGCACUAUACAAAUAACGAGAAUAUGAUGGUUCUAGAGAGAGGUGAGAACAGCAUUAGGGGACUUACGGACUUAGUCUGAGGAGUUGGAACCCAGAUCUGACCCAGGCCUAGAAAUACUGAUGAACUAGGAAGAGUGUGCUAAGGACAUUUGGAAGAACAUGGUACAGCUGAAAGGAUGUGAAAUAGUUCUAUGUGAUCAGAACACAUUAGAGUAGACAUAGUGAAAGGAUGAGACUAGAGAGAGCUCAAGACUUAUUCUGGAAGAUUCCAAGUCUGCUGUGAAUGAUGUUACUUUAGGUGGAAAGAUCCUGCGAAGAGACCCACUCCGGUCUUGUGAAAAGGACGGACUGAAGGGAAGGUGAGGGGCAGGACUAGUGGGACUGGAAGAGAAGUUUCUAGGUGUGUAGGUGAUGAAGUUGUCUCCAUUUUUAUCUUUCCCUUUUUCUGUCUUCGGUACUUUUUAGGCUAUGCUAUUCGCAGCUGAUUUUUCACUUGAUUUUCUUAAUCUUCUUACUCUAACGGAUGCAUGUCCCUCAGGCUCUGCAUUCUAUUUUCUGCUUCUGAGAUGUCAAGUUGCAUAGCUUCUUGGGUCCUUGGCUGAAGAUGAGGGAAGCCACGUUAACUAAGGUUAAUGGAAGUUCUUCAUCACAAGGUGGACUCAACUUGGAGGUCUUCCUUUGUGACCUAAACCAUCUACUUAUGUUUUCCCUUUGCAAGUUGGUAGAUUCUGAUGCAAAGUUUGAGAAUCUUGAUUUGUUUAAGGACCUUGACCUCUCCCUACUUUUCUCCAUCAAGAGGGUUGGUGAUUCAGGGGCCCAGAGUUAAUUUGCGUAUGAACUCAGAAUUUUUGGACACCUGCUGUUUGCAUAUCACAUCAGAUUACUAUGCUAGGUUCUGUUCAAGAGUCUGAACUGUGAGCCUCAGCAAGUCUUUUUCAGACCCUCCAGCUGCCAACAAUGCUUGCUGCUGGGACAACCUGCCUACGUGAGAUUGUGAAAAUGAAUGUCUUAAAAUGCUUGCAAAGCCUGAUGCACAUCAGUCAUCUGGAGUCCCAGCAACCUACUAAAGAAUACAAACAAUAGAAAGGCUAGUUGCUAGAAUUCUUUCCAGGUAAUAAAUCUCCUGCCAUCCCGAGGAAGCAGCCUUUCCUUUGGAGAUUGUAAAUCCAUUUGCUUAAAAACACACAAACAUACAUUUCUCUGAACCUAUUUCCCAGUUUUCAGUGGUAACAAAUUCUGGAGAAUGAAUAAAGGAAAAUAAUAGAUUGAUUCAGGACAUCUUAUAAAUGUGUUUCUGUACUGAACGUCAUACUGGGUACUAAAGAGUUGCAAAGAAAUCAAGACUUCCUCUUACCUUGUGGAGCUUACAUUCUACUGGGAUCUGUAGAGCUAGAUUAGGAAUUUAGAAACACUAUCUGAGAUUAUAGUCUUUGCCACCCAUGCCCCGAUAAAAAUAAAAAAUCACAGAUCUUAAGUGUAUGUAAAAUAUCACAGAUUUGCUGGUUGCAAAAAUCUGGAUAAAUCUGAACUUGUCCAAACUUGAAGAUGAACUUAUCCCGUGUUUUGGUGCCCUUGUUUUAUUGAUGUUGUAAGUACAGACUUUGUCAGCCUGCUAGCAAUCAAGAAAAGAUAUAACUCCAUACACUAGAAGAUAUAAAAUGAAAACAGCAUGUAGCUUCCUGUGUCACUCGGGGUUCCCUGAAGAAACUGAACCAGAAAGAAAGAUCUGUAUCUAUAGUUAUGAAUAUAUAGAUAUAUAGAGAAAAAAAUCUGGAGGGAUUUAUUUCAAGAAAUUGGCGUAAGUGCUUGCGGGGGUGGCUGGCAAGUCUGAAAUGGAGAGGGCAGAUGAGCAGCCUGGAAACUCAGGCUGGAGCUGGAGCUGGAGCUGAAUGCCAGGGUUGGAGUUUUUUCUUCCUCAGAGAAAUCUUGGUUUUGCUUCUUGAAUUUUUCACUGAUUGAAUGAAGCACAUUCAAAUUAUUGAGGAGAGUAACACUUGAAGUCAAGUGAUGCACAAAAUAUACCUAUCUUGCAACACUUACAUUGGAAUUUGUUUGAGUAACUGGCUAUAGACAAGCCAAAGUGAGACAAACUGGACCAUCACAGUCUCCAAAUGACUAUCACAGCCAUGGGCGCUGUUGGAUGGAUGGUCAGGGGCAAGAAUUCUAGGAUGUGACCAUGGGAAGAGAAUUUAGAGAUUGCCACGUUCAGCCUCCUCGAUGCACAGGAAAAGGGCCUACAGGUAUUUGGCUUGUACAGGAUAUGGGGAACAGUUGUGCUUAAACCAGUGAUGAUUUUAUAUGAAAAAUUAAAAAAAAAGUUUUACAGACACAGAGACUCGGUUCUUUUCCUGAUCAAGCAUCUGCUGGAUCUGAAUGUACACAGAAGGUAUUCAAACAAUACUUUUGAUUGAGUCACAUGGGCUAUUAGAUAUGAGCCUGCCUGAAGCUUAAAGUCUCAUUCAUUGAAGGCAGACUCUAAGCAGCCCAAGAAUACUGCUUCAGUAAUGUGUACCCAGGGCCUAGCCAAAAGGUGAUGUGUCAUCCAUGCUAGGAAAAAUUAGUGGAAUUCAUGAAUUCAAUGAAUGUGUGGAUCCUCCUGAUUGUAGAAAGAGAAAGGAAAUGUCCUAAGCGUUAAAUACAGUGUUUUCUGAGUUUCCUCACAUGCCAUAGUAUAUUACCUUUCCAGUAGGUAUAUUUUAAGGAAUAUACAAUAAACACAGGUGUGUGUGCACACACAAUUUAACAUAGCAGGUGCUUAUCACACAGUAGCAAUUUCUAUCACAAACAUUAUUUCACACUAUCCAGCUCUAUAGAUGCUUUUCAUGCUAGGCUCAGACCAUUUCUACCAGCCAUGUAGUUAUCUCCUAGCUCUGGGUGUUUAGUGCCAAUAUCUCACAGCUGCCUCCUUCUCCAUAGGUUUCCCUCCAUUGAAAUAAGUUCACUAGAAGGUUACAGUUUCUGUCUGAGAACAUAGCUCACAACCACUGAUGGAAUCAUAUGGUGAGACAAAUGGUAGGUCUCUUUGCCUUCAAGUGGGGCCAGUUCCACAGCUCGUCAUGGUCAGAUUGCAGCUUGCCUCCAGCAAGCUUCUAUCUAGAUUCCUUCCUGCCUAUUGAGGUCCUCUCAUUCCUUCUCUCCUGAAAGAAUGCACGCAAUAAAUCAUUUGAACAAGAAUCCUAUUCGCAGGCUGUGCUUCUAGGGAAUGUAACUUAGUUACAGAGAGCUCCUCUUUUCUACCUGAACAAUAAUGAGUCAUUUUGCUCAGUGUGAUUCUGAUGUUCAGACCACUAAAUUAGUUUCUAAAAUGUGACUUUCCUAGGUAGCAGAAGAAAAUUACCUUGAUUCAUAGCUGGCACCAAGUACUUACUCACACACAAUAGGCCUCUUCCAUCAGAUGGAUAUGUGGGUACCAAGAGUUUUUAUCUUAAAUGCUUUCUUAAUUCUGACCGGCCAAGUCUAUUCAAUAAACCAAAUAAUCAUUCCUUUAACCACCAAUGCUUGAAUUUCAAGGAAAACAUUGGCUAGCUCAUUCAUUCAUUCAUCCAACAGUUACUGAGCACGGUCCUUGUCAUAAGAUACUGCACUACUAGCUUAGGAUGUGGCUACAGACAAGACACAGCACCUGCCCUCCAAGAACUCACUGUCCAGAAGGAGAAAGGAACAAGUGUUUACAACUGUGGUGAAGUCUGCGACCCGUGCUGUAACAUAAUGCUAUGAGAGCACAGAGGAGAGCCUCUAAAUGAGGAAAGAGGUCAAAACUACUUGUCCUUCAUUGUGCUUGACCUAAACAACAAUAAACAGAAUGGAUCUCCUCUAGUAUAACUGCAAACCAGAGCUUUUCCUUCAAAGGAUAAGGUGUUACAAUGUGCAAAGCUGUGUAGGUUGGAAUACAAAGAAUGGUUGCCUAGUAAUAGACAGAAUAAAAAGACAUAAAUGCAAAA